rnacentral:misc_RNA from 1 species
GAUGAAGAACGCAGCGAAAUGCGAUAAGUAAUGCGAAUUGCAGAAUUCAGUGAAUCAUCGAAUCUUUGAACGCACAUUGCGCCCGCCAGUAUUCUGGCGGGCAUGCCUGUUCGAGCGUCAUUUCAACCAUCAAGCCCCAGGCUUGUGUUGGGGACCUGCGGCUGCCGCAGGCCCUGAAAACCAGUGGCGGGCUCGCUAGUCACACCGAGCGUAGUAGCAUACACAUCGCUCAGGGCGUGCUGCGGGUUCCGGCCGUUAAACCCCUUUUUUACCCAAGGUUGACCUCGGAUCAGGUAGGAAGACCCGCUGAACUUAAGCAUAUCAAUAAGCGGAGGA